GACGUAGGGCGCAAGCGUUGUCCGGAAUUAUUGGGCGUAAAGAGCUCGUAGGCGGUUUGUCGCGUCGAAUGUGAAAACCCGGGGCUCAACCCCGGGCCUGCAUUCGAUACGGGCAGACUAGAGUUCGGUAGGGGAGUCUGGAAUUCCUGGUGUAGCGGUGAAAUGCGCAGAUAUCAGGAGGAACACCGGUGGCGAAGGCGGGACUCUGGGCCGAUACUGACGCUGAGGAGCGAAAGCGUGGGGAGCAAACAGG
rnacentral:rRNA from 1 species